UACGUAGGGUGCAAGCGUUGUCCGGAAUUAUUGGGCGUAAAGAGCUCGUAGGCGGUCUGUCGCGUCGGCUGUGAAAACCCGGAGCUCAACUCCGGGCCUGCAGUCGAUACGGGCAGACUGGAGUUCGGCAGGGGAGACUGGAAUCCUGGUGUAGCGGUGAAAUGCGCAGAUAUCAGGAGGAACACCGGUGGCGAAGGCGGGUCUCUGGGCCGUAACUGGACGCUGAGGAGCGAAAGCGUGGGGAGCGAACAGG
rnacentral:rRNA from 1 species